rnacentral:rRNA from 1 species
UACGGAGGAUCCGAGCGUUAUCCGGAUUUAUUGGGUUUAAAGGGUGCGCAGGCGGUAGAUUAAGUCGGCGGUGAAAUUUUGCAGCUCAACUGUAAAAGUGCCUUCGAAACUGGUUUCCUUGAGUGUGGAUGAAGUAGGCGGAAUUUGUGGUGUAGCGGUGAAAUGCAUAGAUAUCACGAGGAACUCCGAUUGCGCAGGCAGCUUACUAAACCACUACUGACGCUCAUGCACGAAGGCGUGGGGAUCAAACAGGAUUAGAUACCCU